GACGAACGCUGGCGGCGUGCUUAACACAUGCAAGUCGAGCGGUAAGGCCCUUUCGGGGGUACACGAGCGGCGAACGGGUGAGUAACACGUGGGUGACCUGCCCUCAGCUCUGGGAUAAGCCUGGGAAACCGGGUCUAAUACUGGAUAUGACUCCAUGACGCAUGUUGUGGGGUGAAAGCCUUGUGCGGCUGAGGAUGGGCCCGCGGCCUAUCAGCUUGUUGGUGGGGUGANGGCCUACCAAGGCGACGACGGGUAGCCGGCCUGAGAGGGCGACCGGCCACACUGGGACUGAGACACGGCCCAGACUCCUACGGGAGGCAGCAGUGGGGAAUCUUGCGCAAUGGGCGAAAGCC
rnacentral:rRNA from 1 species